rnacentral:lncRNA from 1 species
AAGAGCAAGGAGUUCUUGGUAAUUUGAGAUGUGUUCUUAAAGGGUUCUACAGUAAAGACGAGUGGUUCUUUGUGCAUGUGUUAUCUUUCUAUAUUUGAUUGUUGAGUGGGAGAGGUGUUUACAUUUUGAUAGAGUUCUCUGUAAAACCUUUGGUGUAAAACCCAAAUCAUUAUAGUGAAAGAUCCUUCAAUCUAAGGUUGAUUGGAAGGGAAACUAGAUGUAGGCAUUGAGGCCGAACCAGUAUAAAUCCUCUGUUUGUAUUUCUUUCCUUAUCUCUUUUACUUUCCUUGCAUACGUGUAUUGCUUAGACUACAAGAAAGAUCAAGGAUCAUUCUAUGUUUGCGAAAAUAUUUAAAAAGCAUUUGUUUUUAUUGAUUACCAAUUCACCCCUACUCUCAGUGUUGAGAAACAUUGCACUUCAUUUCUUACAAUUAGGACUUCAAGAGGGCUACCACAUCAUUUAUUUUCGUUUUGUAAUUUUAGUUUUUUUAGUUUUGGACAGAUUGGCACCUUUGGGCCCAAUUUUAGGUCAUAUUUUGUAAGAAGCCCAUAUGGAGAACAUUUUGGUCUUUUGGGGUUUGAGAACCCCAAAUCAGGUUUUCACUUUCUCCCCCCUCUCAUUUUUGUUUUCUAUCUAGGUCUUGGAGCAUGGUUUCGUUUUUCAGCCCCCCCCCUUUUGGCAGUUUAGGUUUGCUUUCGUUAUCUCUUCUUUUGUAUUGAACCAAUUUCAUUUUCAAUUGCAAUUUGAUUUUCGUUUAGUUCCCUUAUUUGCAUUACACUUUCUUUUUUCCCC